CAGUUAAAAAGCUCGUAGUUGGAUUUCGGAGUGGGCCAGUUGGUCCGCCGCAAGGUGUGUUACUGACUGGUUUGCUCUUCUUCGCAAAGAUUGCGUGUGCUCUUUAUUGAGUGUGCGUAGGAUUUACGACGUUUACUUUGAAGAAAUUAGAGUGUUCAAAGCAGGCUAUUGCUUGAAUACAUGAGCAUGGAAUAAUGGAAUAGGAUUUUGGUCCCAUUUUGUUGGUUUCUAGGACCGAAGUAAUGAUUAAGAGGGACAAUUGGGGGCAUCCGUAUUUCGUUGUCAGAGGUGAAAUUCUUG
rnacentral:rRNA from 1 species